CUCGGCGGCAUCCACAUGGCCGCCGCCGGCUGGCGGGACAGCUCCGGCCAAGAGAAGCACCGGCUCGUGGUAAUCGGCGGGGGCAGCGCGGCAAGUUGGCGCUCACCAUCCAGUUCAUCUAGUCCUAUUUUGUAACGGAUUAUGAUCCAACCGUCGAGGAUUCCUCCACAAAGCAGUGCGUGACAGAUGACCGGGCAGCCCGGCUAGAUAUUCUGGAUACAGCGGGACAAGAGGAGUUUGGAGCUAUGAGAGAACAGUAUAUGAGAACUGGCGAGGGUUUCCUGUUGGUCUUUUCAGUCACAGAUAGAGGCAGUUCUGAAGAAAUCUAUAAGUUUCAAAGACAGAUUCUCAGAGGAAAGGAUCGUGAUGAGUUUCUAAUGACUUUAAUUGGUAAUGAAGCAGAUCUGGAUCAUCAGAGGCAGGUAACGCAGGAAGAAGGACAGCAGUUAGCACGACAACUUAAGGUAACAUAUGUGAAGGCGUCAGCAAAGAUUAGGAUGAAUGUAGAUCAAGCUUUCCAUGAGCUUGUCCGGGUUAUAAGGAAAUUUCAAGGGCAGGAAUGUCCUCCUUCACCAGAACCAACACGGAAAGAAAACGACAAGAAAGGCUGCCACUGUGUCAUUUUCUAAGAAUCCCUUGAAUUUUAGCUACAAACUGCCAGGAAAAGCCCUCAUCUUCUCCCUCUCUCCUUACAGUUAACAUCACGCCGGUACCUUUCUAGCCUUAGAUAAAUGAUCACCGUGGUAGCCUUAGACCAAGAAGCUGGCUAAUCCUUUCCAUGAAGCUAAUCCAAUGGUCAUUCAAGACAGAUUUAAAGGAAACACUAAGGCUGCUUCAAAGAUUAAUUCCUUUAAAAUGGAUAUCUAUAUAUACAGACACAUUCUUUUUUUAAGGGCUUACUUUUAAUAAGGAUGAAUCAGCUUUGGAACCUAAGCUGUUUGCCAAGCUGAAGUCAUAGGUUGUGAAAUAACUUUUAACUUCUGGAAUCAUAUCGCCUACUGUUACUCUAAAUAGAAACAUAGGGAGUUUUUUUAAAAUGUGAAUUUUUGCCUAUCUCUAAAAAUUUUGAUGUCAACUUUAGUUAACCUUAAAUACACUGAAUUGAAUUCACAAAAGUGAGACAUCUCAGACCUUUACUGAUGCUAUAGCCUUUGUUUUCCAGUGGCCAAAAUACCAAAAUGCCUAUUGUAUUUAUAGGUUAAAAACUGCAUGUAAAGCCUUUACUAUUAUUCCUAAAGAUAAUAUUCUAUGUGACCAAAUAUUUGGACUCAUUCUGGACUUAGGAAUUUUAGUGUUCUUGGUUUUUUAAUUUAACUCUUUUCACAGCCAUGUUGAGAGUAAAAAUAAAUAAUUUCUGUCUGU